AUUUACUAAGUUAUGUUACAUCUUUAAAAAAAAACUAACAGUUACACUGAAUGGUGUCAUAUCAGGAAGAACGUUUGUAGGUUCGGAGUACAUAAUCAGAUUCAAAGAUCAUUAUAAUUAGAUAUUAUCCAUGGAAAUUUGUUCUCUGGUACAUUUAAACAAGUUUUGUUUGGAAAAUUUGACAAAUGCUUGCUGAGAAACUGAGCCCGAUUAAACGUCAGUGAACCAGUUGCAGACAACAAAACAAACCAGUUAAAUAAUACAAAAUGUUAUGUAAUUUAUUUAUAUUUCUUUGUAAGAAGUGUUAAUUAAAAAUAGAGGUGUUGAUUUCGAUGUGCGUUUUCUCAAUUGAUUGAUAUUUUUUUGUUUUUGUAUUAAAGAAGUGUUUAUUAAAGAUGCAUGUGUUAUGUCGAUAUGCGCUUUUCCAUGUAUUUACUUUUUAUGUAAGAAAUAAAUGUUUAUUAAAGAUGCAGAUGUUGAUUUCAAUGUGCAGGUUUUGGAAUAGAGAAACAAAUUCGAAGGGACACUGCAAUCGUG
rnacentral:lncRNA from 1 species